rnacentral:rRNA from 1 species
AACAAACGCUGGCGGCGUGCCUAAUACAUGCAAGUCGAACGGGGAAAGUCGCAAGAUUAGUACUAGUGGCGCACGGGUGAGUAACGCGUGGGUAUCUGCCUCAAAGUGGGGGAUAACCAGUCGAAAGAUUGGCUAAUACCGCAUAAGACUACUUUUAUUAGUAGUAAAAGAUUUUUCGCUUUGAGAUGAGCCUGCGUAAGAUUAGCUAGUUGGUAGGGUAAUGGCCUACCAAGGCAGUGAUCUUUAGCUGGUCUGAGAGGAUGAUCAGCCACACUGGAACUGAGACACGGCCCAGACUCCUACGGGAGGCAGCAGUAGGGAAUAUUGCGCAAUGGGGGAAACCCUGGCGCAGCGACGCCGCGUGAGCGAUGAAGGCCUUCGGGUCGUAAAGCUCUGUCAUAUGGGAAUAAUUUUGAAUGUACCAUAUAAGAAAGGAUCGGCUAACUUCGUGCCAGCCGCCGCGGUAACAC